UACGGGGGGGGCAAGCGUUGUUUGGAAUUAUUGGGCGUAAAGCGCGUGUAGGCGGCUUUGCAAGUCGGGUGUGAAAGCCCUCAGCUCAACUGAGGAAGUGCGCCCGAAACUGCAGAGCUUGAGUGCCGGAGAGGGUGGCGGAAUUCCCCAAGUAGAGGUGAAAUUCGUAGAUAUGGGGAGGAACACCGGUGGCGAAGGCGGCCACCUGGACGGUAACUGACGCUGAGACGCGAAAGCGUGGGGAGCGAUCCGG
rnacentral:rRNA from 1 species